UACGUAGGCAGCAAGCGUUGUUCGGAGUUACUGGGCGUAAAGGGUGUGUAGGCGGUUCUCUAAGUCUGGUGUGAAAUCUCCCGGCUCAACUGGGAGGGUGCGCCGGAAACUGGAGGGCUAGAGUGCGGGAUGGGAGAGUGGAAUUCCUGGUGUAGCGGUGAAAUGCGUAGAUAUCAGGAGGAACACCUGUGGUGUAGACGGCUCUCUGGACCGCAACUGACGCUGAGACACGAAAGCGUGGGUAGCAAACAG
rnacentral:rRNA from 1 species